rnacentral:rRNA from 1 species
GACGAACGCUGGCGGCGUGCUUAACACAUGCAAGUCGAACGGAAAGGCCCUGCUUUUGUGGGGUGCUCGAGUGGCGAACGGGUGAGUAACACGUGAGUAACCUGCCCUUGACUUUGGGAUAAAUUCAGGAAACUGGGGCUAAUACCGGAUAGGAGCUCCUGCUGCAUGGGGGGGGUUGGAAAGUUUCGGCGGUGGGGGAUGGACUCGCGGCUUAUCAGCUUGUUGGUGGGGUAGUGGCUUACCAAGGCUUUGACGGGUAGCCGGCCUGAGAGGGUGACCAGCCACCUUGGGACUGCGAUACGGCCCAGUCUCCUACGGGCGGCAGCAGUGGGGAAUAUUACACAAUGGGCGGAAGCCUGAUGCAGCAACGCCGCGUGCGGAAUGACGGCCUUCGGGUUAUAAACCGCUUUCGCCUGUGACGAAGCGUGAGUGACGGUAAUGAGUAAAGAAGCACCGGCUAACUACGUG